UGCAUCAUUGGCACAUUUCUUAAGCACCUGGCUCUCGUGGCUCAGUUGGUUAGUGCGUCGUACUUAUAAGCAGUACCGAAGUAUAUGCGAAGGUCGAGGGUUCGAUCCCCUCCGGGAGCAGAUUCUUUGAACGAUCUUCAAUAUUGAAUUACCUUUAAUUUCCAGGAGAUAUAUGUGGCAAAUUGCUGUUGCAUCAUUCGCACAUUUCUUAAGCACCUGGCUCUCGUGGCCCAGUUGGUUAAUGCGUCGUACUUAUAAGCAGUACCGAAGUAUAUGCGAAGGUCGAGGGUUCGAUCCCCUCCGGGAGCAGAUUCUUUGAACGAUGUGAAGAAUUAUUAUUUAGUUUCCAAAAGAUAUCUGUGGCAAAAUUUUGUUCCAUCAUUCACACACUGUUUAAGCACCUGGCUCUCGUGGCCCAGUUGGUUAGUGCGUCGUACUUAUAAGCAGUACCGAAGUAUAUGCGAAGGUCGAGGGUUCGAUCCCCUCCGGGAGCAGAUUCUUUGAACGAUGUGAAGAAUUAUUAUUUAGUUUCCAAAAGAUAUCUGUGGCAAAAUUUUGUUCCAUCAUUCACACACUGUUUAAGCACCUGGCUCUCGUGGCCCAGUUGGUUAGUGCGUCGUACUUAUAAGCAGUACCGAAGUAUAUGCGAAGGUCGAGGGUUCGAUCCCCUCCGGGAGCAGAUUCUUUGAACGAUGUGAAGAAUUAUUAUUUAGUCUCCAAAAGAUAUCUGUGGCAAAAUUUUGUUCCAUCAUUCACACACUUUUUAAGCACCUGGCUCUCGUGGCCCAGUUGGUUAGUGCGUCGUACUUAUAAGCAGUACCGAAGUAUAUGCGAAGGUCGAGGGUUCGAUCCCCUCCGGGAGCAGAUUCUUUGAACGAUCUGAAGAAUUAUUAUUUAGUUUCCAAAAGAUAUCUGUGGCAAAAUUUUGUUGCAUCAUUGGCACAUUUCUUAAGCACCUGGCUCUCGUGGCCCAGUUGGUUAGUGCGUCGUACUUAUAAGCAGUACCGAAGUAUAUGCGAAGGUCGAGGGUUCGAUCCCCUCCGGGAGCAGAUUCUUUGAACGAUGUGAAGAAUUAUUAUUUAGUCUCCAAAAGAUAUCUGUGGCAAAAUUUUGUUCCAUCAUUCACACACGUUUUAAGCACCUGGCUCUCGUGGCCCAGUUAGUUAGUGCGUCGUACUUAUAAGCAGUAC